AGACAAAAACGAUUAUUGGUUUGCGACUUUUUGUAUGAAUAACAUGCAUGUGCUCAUCUUGCGGAAUGCCUCCCACUAGCGCCGCCACUCGCACAACGGGACACAUGUACUGAACUUUAUUGUUCACUCAUAAAAUUUGUCCUGGUGGGGAUAGAAAUACGACUUUGCAUGGUAUAAAAGCCGCGACGGAAGCGGAAGAAGUAUAAUCAUUUCUCGAAAAAAAUGAAUUUAGCAAUUACAUCCUUCUUCGUUUUGCUGGCUGUGGUUCUUGUUGUUGGACCUAAACGUGACUGCUCAAAGAAAUGUUCAACGGGAUGUCCACUAAGCUCACCUUCCUGCAGCGUAAAUCAUGGAGGGCAUCCCGGGGCCUGAUGGAGUAAGGUUGAAUUCAAAUUCUUCCAGAAGUUAAGCUGAUGAAAAAUUAAGAAAUAUAAAAUAAAAUGUUCCAAAUUUUGAAUAAAAGGGUGGCAUUUAGCACCCAAUACUGUGAAAAUAAAUAGCCAACUAAAGAAACUCCAAA